rnacentral:rRNA from 1 species
UACGUAGGGUGCGAGCGUUAAUCGGAAUUACUGGGCGUAAAGCGUGCGCAGGCGGUUCGCUGUGUCCGAUGUGAAAGCCCCGGGCUUAACCUGGGAAUGGCAUUGGAACUGGCGGGCUUGAGUGCGGCAGAGGGGGGUGGAAUUCCGCGUGUAGCAGUGAAAUGCGUAGAGAUGCGGAGGAACACCGAUGGCGAAGGCAGCCCCCUGGGUCGACACUGACGCUCAGGCACGAAAGCGUGGGGAGCAAACAGG